rnacentral:rRNA from 1 species
UACGUAGGGCGCAAGCGUUAUCCGGAAUUAUUGGGCGUAAAGAGCUCGUAGGCGGUUUGUCGCGUCUGCCGUGAAAGUCCGGGGCUCAACUCCGGAUCUGCGGUGGGUACGGGCAGACUAGAGUGAUGUAGGGGAGACUGGAAUUCCUGGUGUAGCGGUGGAAUGCGCAGAUAUCAGGAGGAACACCGGUGGCGAAGGCGGGUCUCUGGGCAGUAACUGACGCUGAGGAGCGAAAGCGUGGGGAGCGAACAGG